rnacentral:lncRNA from 1 species
UUUUAUAUAUAUUUUACAGAGAACGACACUGAAAAACAAGAUGAACAAUCUCCACGAGGCUUCCUGGUGGCUCAGUCAAGAAUCUGCCUACAAUGCAGGAGACUCGGUUCAAUCCCUGGAUCGGAAAGACCCUGGAGAAGGGAAUGGCAAUCCAUUCCAGUAUUCUUGCCUGGAGAGUCUCAUGGACAGAGGAGCCUGGUCGGCUACAGUUCAUGGGGUCGCAAAGAGCUGGACACAACUGAGAGAAUAACACACUCACAAACAACAGCUACAAUCGUGAGAGAACAGAAGAGUAAAACUAAAGUAUACAUGUAUAGGUAUAAAAACAUGAAUGUAUGUAAGACAAAACAGAAUAAUACACCACUUUGGUCCUAUGUAAUACACCAAGAAAUAUAUGCUGAGAUUGUAAAUGUUCACUGGGAGAGAUUGUGAGUAGAUUACAUCUACAAUAUAGGCCUGUGAAAUAUGAAUCAAUGCAGUGUAAUGACUUUCACACUAAAGAGAUAGGCUGGUUUUAACAGAACAGGAAAAAAUUCAGGAAAAUAUUCAGUUACAUCUAAAUACUUAGCAUAUGAAAAGAUGGGAUUCCAAAUCAGCAGGAAAGACUGAAAUUACUUUCUCACACUGUAUACAAAAAUAAACUCAAAGUGACUUAAAUAGAAGACCAAACCAUACAACUAAAAGAAAACAUGGACAGUAUGCCUUUUGACAUUGAUUUUAACAGACUCUUUCUAGAUAUGUCUUCUCAGGUAAGAGAAACAAAGGCAAAUAUAAAUAAAUGUGUCUACAUCAAACUGAAAAUGAAAAGCUUUUGCACAGUGAAGGAAAUGAAACAGCCAUAUUUGGAAACAAUACAUCUGAUAAGGAGUUAAUAUCCAAAAUAUGCAAAGAACUCAUACAACUCAAUAUGCAAAACAAAUUAAAAAUGAGCAGAGUACAUGAAUAGACAUUUUUCCAAAGAAGACAUUCAGAUGGCCAAUAGACAUAUGAAAAGAGUCUCAACAUUAUUAAUAAUCAGGAAAUGCAAAUCAAAACCACAAUGAUAUACUACCUCACACCUGUCAGAAUGGCUAUCAUCAAAAGACAACAAAUAACAAGUACUGGAAAGGAUGCAGAAAAAGAACAUUUGUGAACUGUUGGUGGAUUGCAAAUUAGCUCAGCCACUAUGGAAAACAAUAUGAAGAUUCCUCAAAAAUUAAAAAUAGAACUGCCUUAUUAUCCAGCAGUUUCACUUCUGGUAUUCACCCAAAGAAAACAAAAACACUAAUUUGAAACAACAUACACACAACGUUCACUGAAGCAUUAUUUGCAAUAGCCAAGAUAUAGAAGUAACAAUUGGCCAUCAAUAGAUUAAGUGCAUAAAGAUGCUGUGUGUGCCUGUGUAACAUUACUCAACAAUUAAAAAAAAAAAAAAAAAAAAAAAAAAAAAAAAAAAAAAAAAAAAAAAAAAAAAAAAAAACUUUCUAUUUUACAUGAAUGGACUUAGAUGGUAUUAUGUUAAGUUGAAUGGACUUAGAUGGUAUUAUGUUAAGUUGAAUGGACUUAGAUGGUAUUAUGUUAAGUUGAAUGGACUUAGAUGGUAUUAUGUUA